UGAGGAUUUGAUCCUGGUCCAGGAUGAACGCUGGCGGCGUGCCUUAGGCAUGCAAGUGGGGCGAGCGAAGCUCGCAACACCCAGCUUCCAACAAACAACAUACAACCUUCUGUUAAGAUGAGAUUAUGAGUUUUCGAUUUUUGAAUUUUAAAGUUUAUAUAGACUCAUUAAAUCUUCAUCGGGAAAUAGUAAAGUUAACAAGAAAGUUUCCUAGAGAAUUUUAUUAUUUGAAAGACCAAAUAAGAAGAAGUUCUCUUUCGAUAGUUUUGAAUAUUGCAGAAGGUUCAGCAAAGAAAUCUGAUAAGGAUUUUAAUAGAUAUUUAGAAAAUUCUAUGGGUUCAGCAAAUGAAACAGCUUCGGCUUUAAAUGUAGCUUUUUCAAGCGGUCUGAUCCCGGAAUUUUCUUAUAAGAAGUUAUUAAGUCUUUGCGAAGAAGUUGUUAAUCAACUUGGUGGUUUCUCCAAGAAGUUGAAGGUUGGUAGUUGAGUGUUGUGAGUUGCGCGAGCCGCGAACGGCUGAGUAUAUGGUAAGAAUCUACCUCUUGGUAAAGAAUACCUCACCGAAAGGUGAGCUAAUACUAUAUAAGAUCGUAAGAUGAAAGGACGUAACUGUCCGCCGAGAAAUGAGCUUACUUCCCAUCAGCUUGUUGGUAGGGUAAUGGCCUACCAAGGCUACGACGGGUAGGGGACGUGAGAGCGUGACCCCCCAGAACGGGACUGAGACACGGCCCGUACACCUACGGGUGGCAGCAACUAGGAAUCGUGCGCAAUGGACGAAAGUCUGACGCCGCGACGCCGCGUGAGGGAUGAAGGCCUUCGGGUUGUAAACCUCUUUUGCCAAGCAGUAAAUAGCUUGGAGAAUAAGCACCUGCUAACUCUGUGCCAGCAGCAGCGGUAAGACAGAGGGUGCAAGCGUUAUCCGGAUUUAUUGGGCGUAAAGCGUUUCGUAGGCGAUUUGGUAAGUUACACUUUAAAUACCAGAGCUUAACUUUGGAAAGGGGUGCAAUACUGCCAGAAUAGAAAUAUCUCGGGGUUUACCGGAACUCACGGUGUAGGAGUGAAAUCCGUUGAUAUCGUGAGGAACACCAAGGGCGAAGGCGGGUAACUAGGGAUUUUUUGACGCUGAUGAACGAAAGCUAGGGGAGCGAAAGGGAUUAGAGACCCCUGUAGUCCUAGCUGUAAACUUUGCUCGCUAGGGAUGCGCAAUUUAUUGUGCGUUCCGCAAGCUAACGCGUUAAGCGAGCCGCCUGGGGAGUACGAGCGCAAGCUUAAAACUCAAAGGAAUUGACGGGGAGGCGCACAACCAGUGGAGCAUGUGGUUUAAUUCGAGAGUAACCGAAGAACCUUACCCGGGUUUGACAUGCUACCGUUUUAGUCCACCAGAAAUGGAGGAUGAUUCGUAAGAAAGGUAGCACAGGUGUUGCAUGGCCGUCGUCAGCUCGUGCCGUGGGGUGUUCCCUUCAGUGGGGUAACGAGCGCAACCCCUGCCGUAUGUUGAAUAUUCAUACGGGACUUCCUGAUUUUAUAUCGGGAGGAAGUGGGGACGACGUCAGGUCAGCAUGGCCCUUAUAUCCGGGGCAACACACAUACUACAAUGGAGCCGACAAUGGGUUGCCAAGCGGUAACGCGGAGCUAAUCCCAUCAAACGGCUUCUCAGUGGGGAUUGAGGGCUGCAAUUCGCCCUCAUGAACGCGGAAUUGGUAGUAAUCGGCAAUCAGCUAUGUGCCGGUGAAUACGUUCUCGCCUCUUGUACACACCGCCCGUCAAGUCAGCAAAGUUGGGGGCAGCCGAACUCCGAUUGAAUCGGAGGAAGCUGACACCAGCGAUGAAGAUUAAGUCGUAACAAGGUAUCCGUACUGGAAGGUGCGGAUGGAUCACCUCCUU
rnacentral:rRNA from 1 species